AUAUACACACGUACCAUUGUGUCCUUGAGUUCUAAGGAGACAAGAACCUAAGAACCUAAGUCUGGUUGAUGAGCCAUGACCGUGUGAUCAGAGCGUGAUUAAUAGCUCGAUGAACUCUCAGUGGGGAGUUUCAUCUUGCGCAAUGGAGGAUCGUUCUCGGCCACCUAUGUGGUUGGGAUGGUCACACAGUUGUCUGAUAGACC